GAUGAACGCUGGCGGCGUGCCUAACACAUGCAAGUCGAGCGAUUCUCUUCGGAGAAGAGCGGCGGACGGGUGAGUAACGCGUGGGUAACCUGCCCUGUACACACGGAUAACAUACCGAAAGGUAUGCUAAUACGGGAUAAUAUGAGAAAGUCGCAUGGCUUUCUUAUCAAAGCUUUUGCGGUACAGGAUGGACCCGCGUCUGAUUAGCUAGUUGGUAAGGUAACGGCUUACCAAGGCGACGAUCAGUAGCCGACCUGAGAGGGUGAUCGGCCACAUUGGAACUGAGACACGGUCCAAACUCCUACGGGAGGCAGCAGUGGGGAAUAUUGCACAAUGGGCGAAAGCCUGAUGCAGCAACGCCGCGUGAGCGAUGAAGGCCUUCGGGUCGUAAAGCUCUGUCCUCAAGGAAGAUAAUGACGGUACUUGAGGAGGAAGCCCCGGCUAACUACGUGCCAGCCGCCGCCGUAACAC
rnacentral:rRNA from 1 species